UAAACAUUUGAUAGACAUCACCUUAGGUGUUACAUAUGAAUGAUAUGGUUGAUCAGCUCUUCCUGGGAAGGUUUUUGAUUUUCAACUUAAAUAAAAUACUAGAUCUAACCUGAGGAAUUAGAAUUCAAAAUUUGUAAAAUAUUUUUCAUUGUAUGCUCUUUUAAAGAUUUUUUUAAACAAGAACAGACAAUAAUUUAUGCCUAUUUACUAUGACCAUUCUAUUCUGUCUUUUGCUGAAAUUUCACUCCAUAAUUCAAAUCAGUUUUGUUAUUUAAAAUUCAAUCUUGUAAACUUAGAAUUUACAAAUGAAAAAAAGAUAUUUAUUAUAUUUGAGAAAAAUCUACCAGUUGAUGGGUCUCAAAUUGGCAUAUCCUUUCACAAGUAACAAAAAUUUCCAGAUUUCUUUUGUGUUUGCAUGGGUACAAAUUUAAAGUAUCAUUUUAAAUUGUGCAGAUCACAUAUUUAAAAGCUAUAAUGCAGUGUGAAUAAAAAAGUUGUAUGUAGUUGGGAUUUUUUUAAUGUUAGUCAAAGAAAACUUGUAGCAUGUUUAAAUAAGUUGGCAUAAUUUUAACUUUUUUUCUAUGGCUUACAGAAAUGUAUAUUUACCUUCUCUGUAUUCAUACAUUCCUUCUAUGUAGUACCAUAAUGAAAUAUUUGGGGCAAACUUUAAAUCUAAAAAGAAAAAAAGCUCCAAUUAAGCCAGCAUCUCACGAUAGAAUAUAUUACAGCAAUAAUAACAAACUGUAGGUUUGUACUAUGUGAGUUUAGAAGAAUGAUCAAUAAAUUUAAGCUUUUGUUUAAACUGGCAUCUCUAAUGUUAGAUUGUCUUUAUGAUAAUUAAUACCAAUACGUAUUGGUUGAGUUUGGGCCAUUUCUAUCACAUCACUUUUUUAUUUUGUGUUUUGGCUAAACACUUCUAUAAGAAGCAUUGUGCAAGGAUGAGGAUGAGUUUAAAGUAUAAUCUUGUGAAGUUAAAGUUCUUUAUAUUUGUGUCCAUAUUGUCCCUAGUCAGUUAUAAGUUUCAAGUUAAUUAGUCUUGUAAAACUGAAAAGAAACCAUAAACCAUCCUUAUUUACUGAACAAAAUUUUCAUAAAACAAUUAUCCAUUUGCC
rnacentral:lncRNA from 1 species